CCUACGGGCGGCAGCAGUGGGGAAUAUUGCACAAUGGGGGAAACCCUGAUGCAGCGACGCCGCGUGAGUGAAGAAGUAAUUCGUUAUGUAAAGCUCUAUCAGCAGAGAAGAAAAUGACGGUACCUGAGUAAGAAGCCCCGGCUAACUACGUGCCAGCAGCCGCGGCAAUACGUAGGAGGCAAGCGUUAUCCGGAUUUACUGGGUGUAAAGGGAGCGUAGACGGCUGUGCAAGUCUGGAGUGAAAGGCGGGGGCUCAACCCCCGGAGUGCUCUGGAUACUGUACGGCUGGAGUGCAGUAGAGGUAGGUGGAAUGCCUGGUGUAGCGGUGAAAUGCGUAGAGAUUA
rnacentral:rRNA from 1 species